GUGGCCACGUGGGCCGCGCGGAGAACGCGCCAGGCUCAUCACCUGGAUCAUCGUGCCUCAGUUUCCCCCUCGGCAAAUGGGGCUUCAGCGGCUCGCGACGCACAUUGAUGGAGCGUAUGUCCAGGCGCCGGUGCACCGCAAGGAGCAAAACAGACACAGUUCUUGGUCCUAGGGCUCACGUCCCGGGGCGAAGAGGAUCCUCCAUAAACGAUCAGCCAUAGCAGCUGUGAUUGGACAAGAGACUGAUUUCAGUGACUUUCUCCUAAUAAGAGACCACCGACCAGCUGACCAUGCCGACCAGCUGACCCGUUAAUAGAGAGAGAUGAUGCACCUGCAUGCCUUUGUGUCCUGAAAAGACGUUUUGCCAUAAAGGCCCUAAUUGUAAGAUGUGUAAAUGUUAAGUCUCCACCCCAAAGUGAACAUGGGUCAUAUAUUACAUGCUUUGCUCAAUAAGAGGGCAUGUGUCAGGACCACCUUCAUGAAUAUUCAUAGCUCCUCCUGUUACCUGUUGAAUAUGUAUGUUUAGCCAAUCCCUUCAGCAUAGCGCUCCUGCCCCAACCCCUCCUCCUUGGACGUGCCUGUCUCUGGCCUUGGCUGGAGACAGAUUCCCAGCCUCAGACAGAUGGCCGCCACCUUGCAGGCUACGACCGUUUACAAGAAAUAAAGCCUUCUCUUUUUCCAAA
rnacentral:lncRNA from 1 species